rnacentral:rRNA from 1 species
GACGAACGCUGGCGGCGUGCUUAACACAUGCCAGUCGAACGGAAAGGCCCUGCUUUUGUGGGGUGCUCGAGUGGCGAACGGGUGAGUAACACGUGAGUAACCUGCCCUUGACUUUGGGAUAACUUCAGGAAACUGGGGCUAAUACCGGAUAGGAGCUCCUGCUGCAUGGUGGGGGUUGGAAAGUUUCGGCGGUUGGGGAUGGACUCGCGGCUUAUCAGCUUGUUGGUGGGGUAGUGGCUUACCAAGGCUUUGACGGGUAGCCGGCCUGAGAGGGUGACCGGCCACAUUGGGACUGAGAUACGGCCCAGACUCCUACGGGAGGCAGGAGUGGGGAAUGUUGCACAAUGGGCGGAAGCCUGAUGCAGCAACGCCGCGUGCGGGAUGACGGCCUUCGGGUUGUAAACCGCUUUCGCCUGUGACGAAGCGUGAGUGACGGUAAUGGGUAAAGAAGCACCGGCUAACUACGUG